UUUUAUCAAGUGGAAUCUAACUGAUGUUUCAUGUUCCUCUCAACUUUACCUGUUAUGGUGCAUCUGAAGAAAGAGACACCUGAAUGGUACCUCCAACAUCUGAGAAUGUAAAGGAAAGUAGUCGGCCAAAUCCAUGGAAAGAAUGUGAAGGAAUGAGGCAGGCAUGUGGGAGAGUUCUAAGCCGCUUGAAUUCAUCCAGGGCCGGGGGUCUCCACUGCCCAGCGAGUGUGAUUGGAAGGACACCAGAGAGCUGUGCACUUAGGAAAUGCUGAGCAGCUGACAGAGAAAAAGAAACAUGUUUCCUGUGAGCACCGGAGUCUCCCUUCUCCUUACCGUUACCUCGGAGGAGCGAGGCGGCGUCACACAGGAGGAAGAGUUUGGAGCCGUGAGUCAGACCUGCGUCCCACCUGCCGUGGCAACAACUCCAGCUCUCGGAGACUCGGCUUUCCCUGCAGGGGACUUUAAACCAGACACUGGAGAGCCUCUGCGUCUCUUCUCGCUUGGAGAGAGGGAUUUUAGGAAGCAAGGACAUGUUUCGGAGGAGGGGCAGGGAAAUCCCGUGACAGACCAGGCGGACAGGGGGAGCGAAUGCAGGAAGAGCAAAGGGGGGGCUGAAGCCCGUGGACCCUGAUGCGGCGGAGACGGUCAGGUCAGCCCGCUCCCAGAAUCGUCUCUCAAACCGUUUGUGCUGUGCUCCAUCAGGGACUUCAACAACAUGACAAAAAAGCCCUGAAGAUAUUUUAAGAGCAGUGGCUGAGAAAACAGUGUCCCUGGGAUGCACUUAAGGGACCAGGCCGGAGCUCCUGCGGAGGAAGCAGUUGAGAUGUAAUUGGCACAGCAUUCUACGAGUUUCUCAGGUGUACAACGUGACUCAGUGUUUGUUGAUAUCACGAGAGGGCCACCGCGGACUGGUCGCGACUUUCCAGCCGAGGAUCACCUCCUCCGCCUGUGCCCGGGGCUCCCUGGGCAUAGUGACCACCUCCUACCAGGAGGGCAUGGGAGUGAGAGGAAGCCUGUGCCGCCUUCUCCCUGCCUCCUCCGAAC